AACAUGUGGACUGAUCACUGAUAUCUGUAUCCGCCAAAGAGAUAAAAGACUCUUAAGGCGUGCCGUUAUUUAUAUCGUGGGAGAAAGUACAGCAGACAAGGCGUUGCAACUUAGUGGAAUUGACGUUGGCGGAUGAAAGGCCAUUGUUAAGCCUUAUCCUUUUCCGGAAGCUGCUGGCCGUUCCAUUGCCGUUUCUGUUACUGGAUAUGACAAAUUGCUUAGUAAGAUUGAUAUCGAGAGGGCCUUGCGUAAACAUUUCUCUUCAUGUGGAGAGAUAAGUUACGUCAAAAUUUCCACCAAGUUUGCUUCAGCUGAAUUUGCUAUUGUUGGAGAACAUGCGCAAGAGAAGGUGUUUGAAGUUGAUGGAAGCCACAUCAACUUGUUGAGGUUGUUUGUGGGGGAGUAA